rnacentral:snRNA from 1 species
GGAUGUGAGGGCGAUCUGACUGCGACAUCUGUCACCCUGCUGAUCACCAGGGUCGAUUCGGCUGAUCUGGCUGGCUAGGCGGGUGUCCCCUUCCUCCCUCACCGCUCCGUGUGCGUCCCUCCUGAAGCUGUGCACUCAGUCAAAGAAGACGACCUUCCCCACUAAAGGACCGGUCUUGGGUCAAGGGUAUACGAAUAGCUGCGCUCCCCUACUGGAACCUCCAAACAAGCUCUCAAAAUGAGUACUGAAAGAUUUCUAUUCAGUAUACUGUACUAGUUUUCUCCAAGGUUAGAUCAAAUAGUUUUUAAUGAAAAUAUAUU